AGAGUUUGAUCCUGGCUCAGGAUGAACGCUAGCGGCAGGCCUAACACAUGCAAGUCGAGGGGCAUCACGAGGUAGCAAUACUUUGGUGGCGACCGGCGCACGGGUGCGUAACGCGUAUGUAACCUACCUAUAACAGGGGCAUAACACUGAGAAAUUGGUACUAAUUCCCCAUAAUAUUCGGAGAGGCAUCUCUCCGGGUUGAAAACUCCGGUGGUUAUAGAUGGACAUGCGUUGUAUUAGCUAGUUGGUGAGGUAACGGCUCACCAAGGCAACGAUACAUAGGGGGACUGAGAGGUUAACCCCCCACACUGGUACUGAGACACGGACCAGACUCCUACGGGAGGCAGCAGUGAGGAAUAUUGGUCAAUGGACGCAAGUCUGAACCAGCCAUGCCGCGUGCAGGAAGACGGCUCUAUGAGUUGUAAACUGCUUUUGUACGAGGGUAAACUCACCUACGUGUAGGUGACUGAAAGUAUCGUACGAAUAAGGAUCGGCUAACUCCGUGCCAGCAGCCGCGGUAAUACGGAGGAUUCAAGCGUUAUCCGGAUUUAUUGGGUUUAAAGGGUGCGUAGGCGGUUUGAUAAGUUAGAGGUGAAAUCCCGGGGCUUAACUCCGGAACUGCCUCUAAUACUGUUAGACUAGAGAGUAGUUGCGGUAGGCGGAAUGUAUGGUGUAGCGGUGAAAUGCUUAGAGAUCAUACAGAACACCGAUUGCGAAGGCAGCUUACCAAACUAUAUCUGACGUUGAGGCACGAAAGCGUGGGGAGCAAACAGGAUUAGAUACCCUGGUAGUCCACGCAGUAAACGAUGAUAACUCGUUGUCGGCGAUACACAGUCGGUGACUAAGCGAAAGCGAUAAGUUAUCCACCUGGGGAGUACGUUCGCAAGAAUGAAACUCAAAGGAAUUGACGGGGGCCCGCACAAGCGGAGGAACAUGUGGUUUAAUUCGAUGAUACGCGAGGA
rnacentral:rRNA from 1 species